UACAGAGGUCCCGAGCGUUGUUCGGAUUCAUUGGGCGUAAAGGGUGCGUAGGUGGCGCUGUAAGUGGGGUGUGAAAUCCCGGGGCUUAACCCCGGGACUGCAUUCCAUACUGCGGUGCUUGAGGACUGGAGAGGAGACUGGAAUUUACGGUGUAGCAGUGAAAUGCGUAGAGAUCGUAAAGAAGACCAGUGGCGAAGGCGGGUCUCUGGACAGUUCCUGACACUGAGGCACGAAGGCCAGGGGAGCAAACGGG
rnacentral:rRNA from 1 species